UUCUUCUUAAUCAGAAUCCAUUUUUUUUUCUCGACAAAAAUAGGUAGUACCUACACGUCCUUUAAACAGCCCGGUCGGACGAAAACUGAAGGGCCGGAGUAACGCCAGUCAAUGGGCAAAUAUUUCAGCUGACGCGAUAAACUGAUCAGUUGAACUGAUCAGUUCAACUGAUCGUCAAUGGCCACCUUUAGCCGCAGUUGCUCCAGACGUUUUAUACACGUCAGAAUGCCUCGAGUAAUAGAAUGAGUGAGGGUAGAUAUACAAAAUUUUCGAACACAAAAUGACCAGUACCGAGGCCGGUUAUACUCAAAGCAUUCGAACAUUUACAAGAAUUAGAAAUAAUAAUGCCAGUAGAAAACACCGACUCCAUAUACAGUACAGAUAUAACAACCGGCCGAGUAUAGAAAGAAUAUAAGUUAUUUAUUUUUUUACCUGGUUGAAGAUAUAAAGAAAACAGUGAAAGGGUUUAAGGCUCUGCCGACUGAAAUCAAUCAUUGGUUCAAUAAUUUUGUUAUCUAAAUAAAUUUUUGUUUGGCA